rnacentral:rRNA from 1 species
UGCAAGUCGAGCGGUAGAGAGAAGCUUGCUUCUCUUGAGAGCGGCGGACGGGUGAGUAAUGCCUAGGAAUCUGCCUGGUAGUGGGGGAUAACGUUCGGAAACGAACGCUAAUACCGCAUACGUCCUACGGGAGAAAGCAGGGGACCUUCGGGCCUUGCGCUAUCAGAUGAGCCUAGGUCGGAUUAGCUAGUUGGUGAGGUAAUGGCUCACCAAGGCGACGAUCCGUAACUGGUCUGAGAGGAUGAUCAGUCACACUGGAACUGAGACACGGUCCAGACUCCUACGGGAGGCAGCAGUGGGGAAUAUUGGACAAUGGGCGAAAGCCUGAUCCAGCCAUGCCGCGUGUGUGAAGAAGGUCUUCGGAUUGUAAAGCACUUUAAGUUGGGAGGAAGGGCAUUAACCUAAUACGUUAGUGUUUUGACGUUACCGACAGAAUAAGCACCGGCUAACUCUGUGCCAGCAC